GGCAAAGGGCUAGCAAUGGCUAAGUUGUUUGGUAAUUGGGAUGAUUCUUUUGACAAGCUAUAUGCUUGGAAAGCUGAGGUUGAGAAGAGGUCCCCUGGAAGUAUAGUUACGAUUGACCACAUGGAGUAUGAUCAGAAAAAAUAUUUCAUACGGAUGUUUGUUGGGCUGAAGCCUUUGUGCGAUGGGUUCUUGGCUGGAUGCAGACCUUACUUGGCGAUAGAUAGCACUCAUUUGACAGGCAAGUAUAGAGGCCAAUUAGCUACUGCUUGUGCUAUUGACGGGCACAAUUGGUUGUACCCUGUAGUCUAUGGAGUUAUCGACUCGGAAACUACUGAAAGUUGGGUGUGGUUUAUGGAGAAGCUUCGUGAAGCUAUUGGCUCUCCCGGUCUAGCUAUAUGUUCAGAUGCAGGAAAAGGGAUUGACACUGCAAUCGAACAGGUAUUUGGGUAUGCUGAACAUAGAGAAUGCAUGCGACACUUGGUUGUGAACUUCAAGAAAAAAUUCCAUGGUAAAGUUUUUGAUGAUCAUUUGUGGCCAGCUGCUUAUUCAUGGACUCCUCGAGGGUUUGACUAUCACAUGGCAGCCAUAGAGGAGAAAAAGGCUGCUGCAAUAGCAUACUUAAACAAGUACCACACCAGGCUAUGGUCAAGGAGCAAAUAUUCAACCUCCUCAAAAGUGGAUUAUGUGACAAAUAAUUUGGCCGAGUGUUUCAACAGCUGGAUCCGCAAGCACAAAGGUUUAAUGUUGUUUCAGCUCAUGGACAAGAUAAGGAGAAAGAUUACGGUUAAGUUUGAGAAGAGGAGAAGGGUAGCUAGAAAAUUUCAAGGUCGGCGUAUACUUCCAAGUGUCAUGAAGGAGUUGAAUGACAUAAGUAGGGGGCUGGACAUUGAAUAUGAGAGAAUAGAUGACAUGAUUGCAGAAGUGAGUGAGAGUGUUGCGCUAGGUGGCAAGCGCCACGUCACUGAUCUAGCAAACAGGACAUGCACAUGCAGGGCAUUUCAAGUCUCCGGGAAGCCUUGCAAACAUGCAAUUAGCUUUAUUACUGGAAUUAGGGGGGUCACAAUAGAAGACUUCGUUGAUGAUUGUUACGGCAUUGUCAAGUUUGCUGCAGCUUAUGCUCCUAUUCUUCCUGGCCUAACCGACAUGUCUCAAUGGCCAAGUGUGAACAAAGAAUUCUUCUUGAACCCCCCAAUCCUUAGGAGGGCCCAUGGGAGGCCAAAGGUACAGAGGCACAAAAGUGGUGCUGAAAAUAGCAAGGGAAAGGGAAAGAAAGGCCAACACCAAUGUCCAAUUUGCAAAGCUUAUGGACAUAGAUGGCAAAGCUGCAAAGAUGCUGCUCCUGAAGCACUAGAAGCCUAUGCAGAAGUAGCAAAGCAGAAAAGGUACUUUCUAUUUCAAUAUGAGAUUUCUGUUCCACCUUACUCUUGUCUUAAUUAA
rnacentral:rRNA from 1 species